AGAGUUUGAUCAUGGCUCAGAUUGAACGCUGGCGGCAGGCCUAACACAUGCAAGUCGAACGGUAACAGGAAGCAGCUUGCUGCUUUGCUGACGAGUGGCGGACGGGUGAGUAAUGUCUGGGAAACUGCCUGAUGGAGGGGGAUAACUACUGGAAACGGUAGCUAAUACCGCAUAACGUCGCAAGACCAAAGAGGGGGACCGGGCCUCUUGCCAUCGGAUGUGCCCAGAUGGGAUUAGCUAGUAGGUGGGGUAACGGCUCACCUAGGCGACGAUCCCUAGCUGGUCUGAGAGGAUGACCAGCCACACUGGAACUGAGACACGGUCCAGACUCCUACGGGAGGCAGCAGUGGGGAAUAUUGCACAAUGGGCGCAAGCCUGAUGCAGCCAUGCCGCGUGUAUGAAGAAGGCCUUCGGGUUGUAAAGUACUUUCAGCGGGGAGGAAGGGAGUAAAGUUAAUACCUUUGCUCAUUGACGUUACCCGCAGAAGAAGCACCGGCUAACUCCGUGCCAGCAGCCGCGGUAAUACGGAGGGUGCAAGCGUUAAUCGGAAUUACUGGGCGUAAAGCGCACGCAGGCGGUUUGUUAAGUCAGAUGUGAAAUCCCCGGGCUCAACCUGGGAACUGCAUCUGAUACUGGCAAGCUUGAGUCUCGUAGAGGGGGGUAGAAUUCCAGGUGUAGCGGUGAAAUGCGUAGAGAUCUGGAGGAAUACCGGUGGCGAAGGCGGCCCCCUGGACGAAGACUGACGCUCAGGUGCGAAAGCGUGGGGAGCAAACAGGAUUAGAUACCCUGGUAGUCCACGCCGUAAACGAUGUCGACUUGGAGGUUGUGCCCUUGAGGCGUGGCUUCCGGAGCUAACGCGUUAAGUCGACCGCCUGGGGAGUACGGCCGCAAGGUUAAAACUCAAAUGAAUUGACGGGGGCCCGCACAAGCGGUGGAGCAUGUGGUUUAAUUCGAUGCAACGCGAAGAACCUUACCUGGUCUUGACAUCCACGGAAGUUUUCAGAGAUGAGAAUGUGCCUUCGGGAACCGUGAGACAGGUGCUGCAUGGCUGUCGUCAGCUCGUGUUGUGAAAUGUUGGGUUAAGUCCCGCAACGAGCGCAACCCUUAUCCUUUGUUGCCAGCGGUCCGGCCGGGAACUCAAAGGAGACUGCCAGUGAUAAACUGGAGGAAGGUGGGGAUGACGUCAAGUCAUCAUGGCCCUUACGACCAGGGCUACACACGUGCUACAAUGGCGCAUACAAAGAGAAGCGACCUCGCGAGAGCAAGCCGAACCUCAUAAAGUGCGUCGUAGUCCGGAUUGGAGUCUGCAACUCGACUCCAUGAAGUCGGAAUCGCUAGUAAUCGUGGAUCAGAAUGCCACGGUGAAUACGUUCCCGGGCCUUGUACACACCGCCCGUCACACCAUGGGAGUGGGUUGCAAAAGAAGUAGGUAGCUUAACCUUCGGGAGGGCGCUUACCACUUUGUGAUUCAUGACUGGGGUGAAGUCGUAACAAGGUAACCGUAGGGGAACCUGCGGUUG
rnacentral:rRNA from 1 species